UGCAGUAGUGAAAGAUGGAAGGAAGAAGGGAGGUGUUUGAAUGUUUGUGAUCCAAAAUACGAGUGGCUUUUACAUUAUUUGAAUGAAAACAUCUACGGAAUCAUGACGGAACCUAAGAAGGUAGCCUUUUCUACCAUUGGUUCCAUGAAAAAGGAAAAGAAAAGAGAGAAGAAGGUGAAAAGCUUGCGUAUUGCCUUGACACUAGCGGAGUCCAAUGAGAAGUCCUGUCCGGAGUUCAACUAUCGAGAACUGCUCACCCAGAGACUACAUGAGCGAAUAGGAAAGAAGAGCCUGGGUGAUGUGAUAAAUGGCCCCUCCUUAGACCCCUCAGACCCCUUCUGCACCGAUGAGGAUGCUGCACUUAAGGCCCUGGCGAAGAAGUUUGAAACAAAAUAUGGCACUGCCACACCAAACAGAAAGAAGAAAAGAAGAAAAGAAAAUGACUUUUCAACCCUUGGGGAAGGGUACGAUGAGACUGAUCCAUUCAUUGACAACUCAGAUGCCUUUGAUGAAGUGGUGCCAACACACUUGGAAACCAAACAUAGAGGAUUUUAUAUAAACUCUGGUGAAUUAGAUUUUGAAACAGUUCCUGAAGCGAGUAGUGAAGAGGACACGGUAUCUAAUGGAAGUGAAGUACGAAGAAGAAGGCCGAAUCAGAUAGCCUCAGAUGAUGAAGAAGACAUUGAGGUGGGAGAAGAGGAAAGAGUAGAAGUGGAAGAAGAGGAUGAUGAAGUUCAGGUUAAGAAGCGAAAGCUAUCUGAGAAUGGGUUUAUCCGCCACAAAAAACGCAAGCUGGAUGAAGGUGAACUGUUGCGCAGAAGGAAAAAGAUGAUAGGCCAGUUCAAUGCUAAAAAUCAAGAGAAGAAAGACUCGGAUCAAGAGACUGAGAAGCCCAUUAAUGGCAGUGAGGGCAAAGGUGAGGGGAUUCCCAAUGAAGAGAACAUCAAGGCCAGCAUAGAAGCAGUGGUGACCAAGGCAAGGCAAGAGGCUGUUGAGGGGAAAGAGGAAAGUGAUGAAUCCCAGUCAUCAAGUUCCAACUCCUCCUCCUCUGACAGUGAUUCUUCUGGUAGUUCCUCUUCAAGCGGGAGUGAUUCGGAGGAAGAUGGAGGCCAGCAAGAGGAGGAAGUCCAAGGAGACCAAGAGAAUGAAAAUGGCAAUGAAGAAGAGGAGGAGGAGGAGGGAGCAGGAGAGGAGGUGGAUGCACCCAGUGCAUCCAAUGAUGCUCAUCAUGCCUCAGACACAGAUGAUAACAUUCCCCUUCCAGACAACUUACCAACAGACCUCACUCAGGUAAUCAGUAGAUUAAAAGAAGAAGGCCGUACCCGCAAGGGAUCCAGCCAAAAGUUCUUUACUGAUUCAGUCAACAAAUUAUUAUUAAGUAUUGAAAUGAAACUGAAUAAGCUUGGAGGGAGGAAGAGGACCCAAAUUUAUAGCCAUCUAUCUCAGCACCUUCCGUGUGGAACACAGACCAUUGUUAAACGUGCCAAGAAUCUCCUGACAGAGAAGCAGGAGACAAAACUGCAGGAACCACUUAAAAGGUUAAAGGAGGCUGUGGAUGCAACAAUGCCCCCCCUCUUGGAGAGACAUGCCCUUGAGUGUCAAAAGGCUGCAGAGUCCAACCCCCAACAGUACUGGGAGCUGUAUUAUCACUUCUGGGGAGAAAAUGGUGUCACUCAAAAUGAGGAUGAGGAGAACAAUGAAGGCGAUAAGAAGAAAUCUAGACUACCAAAGAAGAAGUUUUUGUUCACAGAUGAAAUGAGAAAACUCCUAAAUGAUGUGGUACAGGUCAGAGUCUCCUUCUGGCAAAUGAUUAGGAAACGAUCAGAGACACCUGAGGAAUAUAUACGCUUGUUUCUUGACACUGAAGUUCGUCCCAUCUGGCCCAAGGGCUGGAUUACUACUCGCAUCCUCUACAAAGAGAGCCAUGAUGCACAUUCAGCAAUUACGGACAGGAGCUACAGUCGAUCUGUGGCUGUUAAGAAGCAAGUGUCCCUGGGUGGUGGCAGUGUGGUGACCAGCACUCCACAACCCCCAAGGCCAUCACUCAGUGCUACAGUCUUACCCAAAAGUUCAUCCACCACCUCCGGUACUUCCACUCCUACUACAAAGCCUAAGGGAGAGCCAGCUAAGAGGAAGAGCAUAAGUGGGGAUAACAGAGAAGCUGUGAUCACUCCAGGGAAGCAGCAACCAGAGGAGAGGUUGACUGCCUCUAGUGGAGUCCUGACCAUCAAGUCUGUUGAAAAGAUCAAUGAGGAUGUCCCCAAAACAACUGGGGAGGAGGGAGAACGGGUGCCAGAAAAUAAGGAGAGGAAGGGGAAUGGGGAAAGUGUGGGACGAGACAAGCUGCUCUCGGAAAAGAAAACGGCAACAAUAGCAUCAUCCUCAGUUAGCAUAAUUGACCUUUCCAGUGAUGAAGAGAAGACCCUCUUAAAUAAAGCAUCAUCACUAUUAGGCACAAAAUCUGUCUCUGUGAUCACUGCUGUUAAAGAUAACAAAGUUAGUGAUGAGUCUUUUGUGGCACCUAGUCAAAAUGUUCAAGGCUCUCGUUCUUCAAAGGCAGAUGCAUUGCCCUCUGAGCCCAAAAAGGAAGACAAUUUGGAGGAAGAGAUGAACCUUGUCAUGAAUGAAAUAUUGCAAAUUUCAAAGAAGAAAUCUGCUGAUGAUUCUUUAGAUAGGACAAUUAAAGAACCUUCUGACAACCUGCCAUCAUCAUCAUUGCCCAUAUCCUCCUCCUCAACCAGCAUGAAGCAUCAUCAUCAGCAUCAGAGCUCAUCCCAGUCACAGGAGUCAUACCACCAUCACCAAACACAACUUCAAAAGCAGGAGUCUCGCUCCUCUUCCACAACAGUGAAGUUGGAGCAGCCAUCUGUUUCUCCUGGGAAACAGUCAUCAGGCUCUCCAGCAAAACUGUCUCAGCCAUCUUUGUCCCCUGUUAAACCACCAGUGAUCUCCCCAGCAAAGCAGGAGCAGAAUUCACCUACUUCAUCAAAGCACCACACCUCUCAGCAUCAUCAGCCUGGCCAGUCUGAGAAACUAACAUCACAUCCACAUGAGCGUCACACUCCAAAGACUUCCUUUGCUGAUCAUUCUAAACACACAUCCCAGACAAGCCAGGAAAAGCACUCAUCUGAACACCAUUCGGUCUUACAUUCUCAGAAACCGGCAUCUCAACACCAUACCUCUGCUGAUUCCCAUCAGAAGCAUUCCCCAAAGCUUCAUUCUUCCAAACAAGAGAGGCAGGCUCAUAGCACCCAUUCCUUGCCCACUGUUGAGCCUAAGUCACCAUUACAAAAUCAGCUCCAACACUCAUAUUCAUCUCUGCAACACCACAGUCCCUCUCAACACACCUCAAAGCAGCCACAACAGCAUUCUUUGCACCAAUCCCAACAUUCACAAAGACAGCAGCCACAGCAACAACCUUUAAAUCUUCAACAACCUAAGCAGCAGCAGCAACAACAACAACAGCAACAACCACAACAACAGCAGCAGCAGCAGCAGCAGAAGCAACAGCAACAACAACAACAGCAGCAGAAGCAACAGCAACAGCAACAACCACAGCAGCAGAAGCAACAACAACAGAAACAACAACAGCAGCAGCAGCAGCAACAACAUCCUUUAAACCUCCAACAGCCCAAGGCACAGCAUGCACCUCCCACAUAUCACCACAGCAGUAGCAGCAGCACCCCACAGUUCUCAUCCCUGCCUCAGCCACGCAGUACCUCCCCUGAACCCUCCAGACACAAGAAACAACAGUCUCAUCACUACUCCCAGUCCCACCACCAUUCACAGUCCCACUCCAAGCCUAGCAUAACUUCCUCCUGGAGUUCAAGUGACAUGGCCAUGAUCUCCAAGACCUCACCAACCAGUACAAGCAAAACCCACUCCUCUUGGUCAUCUGGCCAUGAUGUCAUAUCCUCCAGGCAGAGGCAGAGUGACAUACCCAUGGGGUCAGGAAGCAAAAAGAGCACUUCAAGCAGUGGCAGCAGUACUUCAGCCAAGGUCACUACCAGUGUGCCAGUGCUUGGAGGUAGUUCCGUGGGCCUGCACCCCACACCUAACAAGACUACUGCACAUAACUACACUUCUUCCCAGUCCAAACAGUCAGCACCAUCCCUCUCCUAUUCCUCAUCAUCUCAACACUCCACCACAGCUAAGGCCAGGCUUGAUCCUUAUGUGGCCUCUAUGAGCCAGUCGUUAUAUGGGGGCCUGACAGCUGAGCAGCAACUCGCUUCCUACAAGCAGCUCCAGCAGCACCAGCAAACCAGCCAUCUGACCCCCCACCAGCAGCAGGAACUCUGGCAGCAGGUUAUUAUGAGUUCUAGUGGAUUUCUCCCUGGCAUGAGUGGCAUGUCAACCACGGACAUGAUAAAGCUCAUGUCACAAAUGGGAAAACCAAUGGACUCCUAUACGACAGCUUCUCAGCAUGGUCAGAAACGGCCAGGGCAACGCCACAGCCAGUUCUGAAGUGUGCACUGAGGACUGUCAAGGGUUCAUCGGAACACCUCGCAUGCGGAUCACGCAACAGGAAGAUUGUACAGCUGUAUAUUGUGUGAACAGUGAGAUAUUAGUACAAAGACUUUGGCAAUGCAGCAGUUUGGUGGGGAGGCAGAGAUGUUGCAGCCAGGGUAUCUCUGGAACUGCUCAUAUGGAGAAUGCUGUGUUGGUUGGAAUCCUGCAGCCCUUUUCUGGAUUGACUGUGGAGAAGUUGAAAGCUGGAUCUUUGAUGGCCCUCAACUCCGUCAGCUCAUCAGAGAUCCAGAGUUUGAAAACUCAAUUAACGAAGAGGAACUGGAAGCGUGGAAGGCUUUUGUUCUUGUGAAGAAAUUUAUUGGCAACAAGAAGGCCAGGAACUACACAGAACUUGUCACCAAUAUACUGAAUGCUUUCAGAAACCUUGGAUGCAACAUGAGCAUCAAAAUGCAUUAUUUAUUCUCACAUAUAGAUCGGAUUCCUGAGACUCUGGGAUCAAUGAGCGACGAGCAGGGGGAGAUUCUAUCAGGACAUGAAAGAGAUGGCGACCAGGUAUCAGGGACGCUGGGAUGAAGUCAUGAUGGCUGAUUACUGUUGGACUCUGAAGUGAGACAUCCCUACCGCUGAGCAUUCUAGGAGUUCGAAGAAACGGAUGUUCAUGCCCUGAAUUUUGAACAAUGAUGACCUAAUAUCCAAUUUACAUGUACUUACCUUUAUCAAUGUCUACUAUUCAAUGUACAUUUAUCAAUUUUUGUAACAUUUAAUUAAUGAAUUGUGUUAGAAAACAAUUUUUUUUUAUCUUAAAAACCCAUUUCAGAUGAGAAAUAUUAACAAAAAUCAACUGAAAAUGUCACAAAAAUGUAAUCGAUUUAGUUAUAAGAUUGGAUUUUUUAAAAAAUUGACCACAAAAAUCUGACCGAUCGAGAGAAACGGGUGUCAUUUUCGGAUUCAGCGGUGCAAAUUUGUCCUAAAUCAGUUGAAAAAACUUGACAGCUAACAUUUUUUUUUUUAACUCAGUGUAAUCAGUUACAAAAUACUCUGCCCUAUGGGAAACCCAACAAGUACUUAAUUAAUCAUGAGGAUGUGGUCAAUUUCCUUUGCUGAACCUCCAGUAUUGCUGUACCAAGUCUAGCAGUGUAGUUCUAACCUCUUGGAACCAAAAAUGAAGGAGCCCUCCGAGAUUAACCCUGGGCCUGGUUCUGCUGGCAGGUGGUGUCUCCUACAGUCUACACCAACCCAGCCACCCCCUAAACAAAAUGAAGGGCUAGGGGACCCUACCUCUUCAGAAUGAAGGGGUCACAUAGGUUUUGCCCUGCAGCCAUCGUAGGCAGCAUGCUCACCCAAUACAGAUUCAUCGAGGGAGUCUUUCAUAUGAAACGUGUAAUGUAAAAGGAGUGAACUGACAUUUUUACAGCUUUAAACAAAUCAAAUUUUUAAGAGAAAUUUUCAACAUUGUCUGUAACACAGUUAUUUAUCAGUGGGUUUAAUGGUUUUUGUUUUGAUAUAAAUAUUGAUAACAAAGGUAAUUUGACUACAUACAGAAAAUUACCUUAAUGGUAAAAAUUAACUGCCCUUAGAGAGUGAACACAGGUUUUUGGAAAUACGUAUUCAUAUAUUUUGUUUUUGGGCUUUUCAAUUUUUUUUUUUUUUUUCAUUUCAGUUAUUUAUGGACAGGUUUUGAUGUUUUUAGUUACCAAUGAUAGGUUUCAUCAAGGGAGACUUGAUCAUGUAUAAAAAUAAUAAACAAUAAAAGGAGUCCCUUUUACGGGUAAACGUGUAAGUUGAUUUCAGAAAUUGUAAGAUUUGGUCAGUUUCCUAUUGAUGGAGGGAUUUUGACGUUUUGCUUCGCACUGGUACUGGGGAAUCCCAUAACCCACUCCCACCCUGCUGCAGCACUUAUCAAGCUUCCACCACCAAAGAAAAUUAAAUAAAAACAUUCUUCUCUACCUAUCUUUUCAACAUCUUUUGGCUCUUUAUAACCUUAUACCACUGCAAUACCUGUGCAUUCUAUUCACCUACCAAAGUAAUCUAUCUACCUAUGUGUCUGUUAAAACCCUAUCUACUGUCACUGUUUAACAUUAUAUUAUAACGUAUUGUUAAUGUUAUGCAUUAUGGGGACAUUCAUUUACAUACAAAAAAUGUCCCUAACAAUGAACACGAGUCCCACUUCUUGGGUAAAUGAAUAUAGUUUCUAUUAUUAUUUAUUUACCCGAUAAAUUGUUAUUUUUCACGCCUAGGGGAUUUCUUAGUGGCUGAAUGACAUCAUAGUGAUGUGAGUAGGGAACAACCUAUGCAUUGGGUAAACCACUUGCCACAACUGCCAGACUACACACCCCAUGCAAGCUGAGUGACAGAAAAAUCACACUACUUUAGGCCUUCUAAUUACCCACUUUACUGUCGCUUUUUUCUUAACUUGCUUCAACACAUGAUGUAGCAAAAUUUCAGCUACCAGAUGCUACCAAACAAUGAGUGCCACUUUAAUUGGUUUGGUCGCUUCUUUUAUAGUCAACGCCGUAUAUGGUCAGGCUCCCCUGCAAAGCUGGAUUUGGGUUAAGGCUCAUGCCAUGACCACCACCUGUAUUUUUUUUAAUUUUUUUUUUUAAUAUUUUUAGUAAGGUUGAUGGUUUUGCAGGGAGGGCUCAGGGGUAUUAGCUGUGGGCAGGCACACAGAACCCCCUUUUUUUUACACCUUAUGUAGCAUCUUGACCAAAGGUAAGUAAGGUAGGGGGUCUUUAAUAAUAAUAAUAAUAAAAGAUAAAAUUAAUAAAAAAUUUACCAUCAUCACCUACCUCCUUUUUUACAAACACAAAAAAAGGAGUGGUUACUAUAUUCAGAGAGAUGGGCCAAUGAAAUUGGCCAUACUAACGUUUGCACCCUAGCAGUGACUAAAUACAUUAACACCAAAUUAUUUUGCAUAGUCCUUCAAAAUCUUAGAUGAAUACUGAUAUUCAGGAUGAAUUAUAUGUGAAGAUUCAAUUAUAGUCUUGCUAAUUUGUUCUUUUUCAGCCUAUUCAAUAUCUUUCUUCUUUCUCUUCUACUCCCCUUUUUAUUCAUUUGCAAUAUCUAGCCAUCUAGGUUACCUCUCCCCCUCUUUUUCAGCUCCCUACUUCAUCUACUUUGUUUGUGUAGAUUCUGUGAACUUUUCUAGUCCCCUCCUUCCUACAGGUAGCAGGUGUGUGUGUGUGUGUUUACCUAGUUGUAGGAUACAGGGCUUGAGCUACACUUGUGUGGUCCUGUCUCCAUAUCUACAUUUGUCCGUUAUUCCUAAAAUUUCUGCAUCCACCACUUCUAAUUCAUUCUAAGUGUGUGUGUGUGAGUAAUUCACCCACGGUCUGAUCACGAGCUGGGCUUGUCAUCGCCAGCAAGUACCCUCCCAACCCUAUCAAGCUCAUUAUAGUUGAUCUCUGGGUACUGCCAGGACCUUCACACACCACACACCCAAUCCUUCUUGCUGAGAGGGGGACAGUAACUGCUCCUCUGUCAGUGGAAAAAUCCCAGGCCUGAAUAGGGCUCGAACUUCUACCUGCCAGACUGUGAAGCCUGGCAGCACAGAGCUCUACUACUGAGCCACCAUAGUGGUGUGUGUUUGUGUGUGUGUGUGUAGGUAUAUUAACAAGAUGGUCAAAGCAAACAAAAAAUAUGGAUUCAUUGAAGCAGGGGAAGUAUUACUCAUUAUGGAAAUGUGGAGAUUCUGAAAGGAAACUCAGUAGGAUGUGACAGUGGUAGGUACGAAGGGGCACGUGUUAAAGGGAAAAUAAAAUUUGGCAAAAUGAUCACCUGGAGGUGUUGUGAGGGAAAAAGACAUGGUGGUGUAUGGAAAGAUGAUACAGUAUUAGGGGGAAGAAAGCUAUAAGUUAUAAAAUGAUAAAAUCAUUUGGAGAGAUUGGAUUUAUAAGAGGAAGGGAAUAUAUAUAUAUAUAUAUAUAUAUAUAUAUAUAUAUAUCUAUAUAUAUAUAUAUAUAUAUAUAUAUAUAUAUAUAUAUAUAUAUAUAUAUAUAUAUAUAUAUAUGUGUGUGUGUGUGUGUGUGUGUACACUAGUUUGUCAUCCUUUCUCUUAAUUGUUUCCCAGUACUCAACCCCCACUCUAGUUGUAUUAGAAAUAAGAGGUUGUUAUUGCUGAUAUAAAAAAGGAAGCUUUUGAUAUGGACAUUAUUAAAAAUUAUAAAAACAAUUAAAGAACUUGUGAAUAUUAAGCAACUGACUGCGAGACAUGAGCUUCCCUGUACUUAGCUAUGAAACUUGUCCCGUGAUGGAGCCCUGGUGAAUUUGCGAGGAUGCUGAGAUAAGAGUAAGGGUGGCAGGUAGACUCAUCAGUUGUCUCGUUAAAUGUCAGGAAAAACAUUCUGAUAAUCUGCUCUGAGGCUUCACUACAUUGUUCAGGAAAAUUUAUCACUGCCAGUGUUGUUAUUAUAUUACCUGUUGCUCAGAAUAUGUGAUAGUCAGAGCUAACACAUGCAUAUAUCUCACAAACUAACAUUUUGUAUAUGUAUAUUACUACAUUUGUUUGCUUGUGUUCACUGUAUGACCUUGUAAGUCUCCCUUUUGUAAAGUAUCACCUGAUUCAGACCAGCAGGUGAUAAAACCUGAUGAACUUAGCUUUCUGUAUAUUGGCUUUAGAUAUAAAUUAAAGAGAGCUAAAAUGA